AUUCGAAUUGCGAAAAUGGUAAGUGCUAAUUGAUCUCAACCCAAUCCAUCUGAUCACCUAAUGGAGUCUCUACAGCAGUCUCUACGCCUAGAAUGGAGAGCCGUCCCUCGCAGACAUUCUUGAAGUGAAGUAUCAAGAUUUCAAGUUCGCAUCUAAAUUAAUCAAAUCGUAUCAAAAUUGCGUCGGCGAAUCCUCCACAGGCCACAGGAGGAGGAGGAGGAUCUGACAGGGUAAACGAAUAGUGCUCGACUUUCGAUCGAAACUCUCUAAAUCAAUCAAGUGGAAAAUUGCGUUUCGGAAAGAAUAUAUUUCGUAAAUAAAAAGGAGAAUCAAAGUAUAGAA
rnacentral:lncRNA from 1 species